GCGAAUCCCGGGGAACUAGGAGGGGUAAUACGGAGAGUUGAAGCGGUUAUUCGAAUUACUGGGCGGAAAGCGAGCGCAGGCGACUGAGUAAGUCAGAUGUGAAAUCCCUAUGCUAAACCGAGGAACUGCAUUUGAAAGUAAUAAACUAGAGUAUCGUAGAGGGAGGUAGAAUUCCAGGUGUAGCGGUGAAAUGCGUAGAUAUCUGGAGGAAUACCAGUGGCGAAGGCGACCUCCUGGACGAAAACUGACGCUCAAGCACGAAAGCAUGGGGAGCAAACAGGAUUAGAUACCCGGGUAGUC
rnacentral:rRNA from 1 species